UGGGGGAUAUUGCACAAUGGGCGAAAGCCUGAUGCAGCGACGCCGCGUGGGGGAUGAAGGCUUUCGGGUUGUAAACCUCUUUCGCUAUCGAACAAGGCCCGCUUAGGGUGGGUUGAGGGUAGGUGGAGAAGAAGCGCCGGCUAACUACGUGCCAGCAGCCGCGGUAAUACGUAGGGCGCGAGCGUUGUCCGGAAUUAUUGGGCGUAAAGGGCUUGUAGGCGGCUUGUUGCGCCUGCUGUGAAAACGCGGGGCUUAACUUCGCGCGUGCAGUGGGUACGGGCAGGCUUGAGUGUGGUAGGGGUGACUGGAAUUCCAGGUGUGGCGGUGGAAUGCGCAGAUAUCUGGAGGAACACCGAUGGCGAAGGCAGGUCACUGUGCCAUUACUGACGCUGAGGGGCGAGAGCAUGGGUAGCGAACAGG
rnacentral:rRNA from 1 species